rnacentral:lncRNA from 1 species
GGGGGCUCUCUUGGUUAUGAGUGACAGAAACCCAAGUGGAAUUCGCUGAGGCCAAAAUGGGGAUUUCCUGGAGGAAGUCUGGAGAGACUCCCUUAACGGAAGGAAGAGCUGAACAUCCAAACCUCCGGAGGGCUGGGGAGUGUCGGAGUGAUCUUACUGGGCCUGUGGCUUUCAGUUCCAUCUAGAUGCUAAGGAAUCCCCGAAGGGGAGCACUGCUGUUUCUACUGCAUAGCCUCUGAGAACCCUGCAUUCGUUAAGCUCCACCAUCCUCAGUGUGUUGAUGGCUUCCUUCUGGUGAUCUAAGAGCUGCUCCAGAUCUCUAGCUUCUCAAUUUGGCCAGCUGGGAGGUGGGAACUGGAAGGAGAGGAGGAAGCUGUGCCCCAUCACCGAGAAGGCCGCUGCAAAUAUGUACUGAUGGAUUCAGA